GUGUUUUUAAGUUGUUCGAGGAAUUUUUAAAGAAACUUUAAAGUAUAUUUACAGAUUGUUAACACACUAUAGCUAACUUGCUAAUGUAAAGUACACAGAUAACUAAUUAAGUAUCAGAGAUCGUUAUUUAAACGUAUACAUUUAUUGUGUGUUUCUAUUCAGCUCUCUAUAUUUUUUUAAUAAGUCAAUAUCUGAUAUUUUAAUAUUUUAAUAUCGCAUAAUAUCUGACUUGUCAUUGUUAAUGUCUUGUUUGGAAACUCAGCACCUGGAUACGAAGUCAUAUGUUUUUGAGAGUGAGCCUGAUGAAAACAUGAUGAGGAGAAGAAGAAAAACCAAUCCAAUAGAAGAGGCUAUACAGUUCUCCCUGAACAAUAAAGAUAAAAAUGGAUUCGAGAUCAGAUUUAUUAAUGACUUUAAAGGGAGAGGUGUAUUCAGUUGUACUGAGUUUGAGAAGGGAGAUUUUCUGAUGGAAUAC